GGGGAGGCUUGAUAGAAUGUUAGUUAAUAAUAUUGUUUAUUAUUAACUAAAUAUUGUUAGUUAUAAUUUAGUUAAUUAAAUAAAAGUUAGUAUAUGUUAUAAUAAUAUUGUUUAUUAUAAGCUUAAGCAAAGUAAGAAUCACACAUUCUACCACAUUUCUGUGAUGCUGGCUCUGCUUUCUCAAAGCUCCUGAAGCUCUCAGCACCAAGCGACCCAUUUCCUUGAGAUUCAUUCUUCUCCCUGACAUGGUUAUCUCGUGAUCCUACUAGAAUGUCUCCAGGAAAAGAAUAAUAUGGCAAAGGAGCGCCAGACCUGAGGCACCAGAAGCUUGGGCUUUUUCCCAGGGAAGGAGAACUGGAGCUGGGACCAGCCCUUGUGACGGCAAAUCAAGACAGAUCAACUUGGAGUGUUUGUUAGAAAAUUUCUGGGUUCUUGGGGUACCUGGGUGGCUCAUUCAGUUAAGCAUCUGCCUUCGGCUCAGGUCUUGAUCCCAGAGUCCUGGGAUUGAGCCCGGCAUCCGGCUCUCUGCUUAGCGGAAAGUCUGCUUCUCCCCCUCUCUCUGCCCUUCACCCCACUCGAGUCUGCUUCUCCCUCUGCUCCUUACCCAACUUGUGCUCUCUCAAAUAAAUAAACCAAUCUUUAAAAAAAAAAAAGAAAGAAAGAAAGAAAAAAAGAAAAUUUCUGGGUUCACUCUCUGAGGUUUUCAUUUUGCUCCAAAUUGAAUUUCAAACUAUACUUUAUUAAUAUUAAUAUUUUAAGAUUACUAUAAUCAUGGGGCGGGGUUCAUGUGAUUUUAUCCUGCAAUCAAUUCCCUUCCCCACAGAUUAUUUUAUUGUUUUCUCCUAAACACUGAGCCACCUCUUUCCUCCUCAGUCAAGGACAUUCCUUUGAUUUGCUACAGUGGCUGUAGUCCUGGCAGGAGACUUAGAAGUUCUUUCAUCGGAAACCCUCUGCCUUCUGACUGCAGUAGAAGCAUCCCCCGCGGAGGAGCUGGUUACCCGAGGAAUCCACAGAGACCGUGAGGCGCUAGGAGCAAGCUCCCAGAUUGACAACAGAUUUACAACAGCAGGUGAGAGGAACUGGGAUUAUUUCACGUGGAGGUGGAAAAAGAAACCGAAGGAGGGGUGGCUUAAUAGUGGCCUUCACCAGAACCAUGCUGAGGGUGAAGCAUCACUGGUAUUUUUCCACUGCCUCACCCUGACCCCGAUCAUAGUCCCACUUGUGUCCUUCUGUGCCCACCUCUUGGAAAAUAAAUUGUUCCACUUCCACAGAAAGGUACAGGAGGUUGGGACAACACAAACCAAAUUAAAUGUAACAACAUUUUAUUAUUAUUUCUUUUUAAUCACAAAAGUAAUACACAAUUUGUGAAAAGAACUAGUUAAGUUGUAGACAGGGAUAAAGAUGAUAACGAAAAUCCACUCCUAGCCCUCAGCCCCAAGAUAGCUGUUGUUAGCAUUUCAGUCUCUUAUUGUCCAGCCUUUUUCUAUACAUAUUUUUUAGAUUAUCC
rnacentral:lncRNA from 1 species